rnacentral:rRNA from 1 species
AGAGUUUGAUCAUGGCUCAGAUUGAACGCUGGCGGAAUGCUUUACACAUGCAAGUCGAGCGGCAGCGCGGGGGCAACCCUGGCGGCGAGCGGCGAACGGGUGAGUAACAUAUCGGAACGUACCCCGUCGUGGGGGGAUAACACAGCGAAAGCUGUGCUAAUACCGCAUACGACCUGAGGGUGAAAGCGGGGGAUCGCAAGACCUCGCGCGAUGGGAGCGGCCGAUAUCGGAUUAGCUUGUUGGUGAGGUAAAGGCUCACCAAGGCGACGAUCUGUAGCUGGUCUGAGAGGACGACCAGCCACACUGGAACUGAGACACGGUCCAGACUCCUACGGGAGGCAGCAGUGGGGAAUUUUGGACAAUGGGGGCAACCCUGAUCCAGCCAUUCCGCGUGAGUGAAGAAGGCCUUCGGGUUGUAAAGCUCUUUCAGCAGGAACGAAACGGUGGCCACUAAUACUGGCUACUAAUGACGGUACCUGAAGAAGAAGCACCGGCUAACUUCGUG